GAUGAAGAACGUAGCGAAAUGCGAUAAGUAAUGUGAAUUGCAGAAUUCAGUGAAUCAUCGAAUCUUUGAACGCACAUUGCGCCCCUUGGUAUUCCGAGGGGCAUGCCUGUUCGAGCGUCAUUACACCACUCAAGCUAUGCUUGGUAUUGGGCGUCGUCCUUAGUUGGGCGCGCCUUAAAGACCUCGGCGAGGCCACUCCGGCUUUAGGCGUAGUAGAAUUUAUUCGAACGUCUGUCAAAGGAGAGGAACUCUGCCGACUGAAACCUUUAUUUUUCUAGGUAGACCUCGGAUCAGGUAGGGAUACCCGCUGAACUUAAGCAUAUCAAUAAGCGGAGGA
rnacentral:misc_RNA from 1 species